rnacentral:tRNA from 1 species
GGGCAUGUAGCUCAAUUGGCAGAGCACGGAGCUUAUACCUCCGCGGUUCCUGGUUCAAGUCCAGGCAUGCCCA